GACGAACGCUGGCGGCGGGCUUAACACAUGCAAGUCGAAGGGAAAGGCCCUGGUUUUGUGGGGUGCUCGAGUGGCAAACGGGUGAGGAACAGGUGAGUGACCUGCACUUGACUUUGGGAUAAGUUCAGGAAACUGGGGCUAAUACCGGUACGGAGCUCCUGCGGCUUGGGGGGGGUUGGAAAGGUUAGGCGGUUGGGGUUGGACGCGCGGCGUUUCAGCUUGUUGGUGGGGUAGUGGCUUACCAAGGCUUUGACGGGUAGCCGGCCUGAGAGGGUGACCGGCCACAUUGGGACUGAAAUACGGCCCAUACUCCUGCGGAAGGCAGCAGUGGGGAAUAUUGCACAAUGGGCGGAAGCCUGAUGCAGCAACUCCGCGUGCGGGAUGACGACCUUCGGGUUGUAAACCGCUUUCGCCUGUGACGAAGCGUGAGUGACGGUAAUGGGUAAAGAAGCACCGGCUAACUACGUG
rnacentral:rRNA from 1 species